UACGUAGGAUGCAAGCGUUAAUCGGAAUUACUGGGCGUAAAGCGUGCGCAGGCGGCUUUGCAAGACAGAUGUGAAAUCCCCGGGCUUAACCUGGGAACUGCAUUUGUGACUGCAUGGCUGGAGUGCGGCAGAGGGGGAUGGAAUUCCGCGUGUAGCAGUGAAAUGCGUAGAUAUGCGGAGGAACACCGAUGGCGAAGGCGGAUCUCUGGGCCUUACCUGACGCUGAGGCGCGAAAGCUAGGGGAGCAAACAGG
rnacentral:rRNA from 1 species